CGGCAGGCUUAACACAUGCAAGUCGAGGGGUAUGGUUCUUCGGAACCAGAGACCGGCGCACGGGUGCGUAACGCGUAUGCAAUCUGCCUUUUACAGAGGGAUAGCCCAGAGAAAUUUGGAUUAAUACCUCAUAGUAUAGUACAGCCGCAUGGCUGAACUAUUAAAGUCACAACGGUAAAAGAUGAGCAUGCGUCCCAUUAGCUAGUUGGUAAGGUAACGGCUUACCAAGGCGACGAUGGGUAGGGGUCCUGAGAGGGAGAUCCCCCACACUGGUACUGAGACACGGACCAGACUCCUACGGGAGGCAGCAGUGGGGAAUUGUUCGCAAUGGGCGCAAGCCUGACGACGCAACGCCGCGUGGAGGAUGAAGACCUUCGGGUCGUAAACUCCUUUCGAUCGAGACGAAUGGCCUCUGGGUUAACAGCCCGGAGGAGUGACGGUACCGAGAGAAGAAGCCCCGGCUAACUCCGUGCCAGCAGCCGCGGUAAUACGGGGGGGGCAAGCGUUGUUCGGAAUUACUGGGCGUAAAGGGCUCGUAGGCGGCCAACUAAGUCAGACGUGAAAUCCCUCGGCUUAACCGGGGAACUGCAUCUGAUACUGGAUGGCUUGAGUUCGGGAGAGGGAUGUGGAAUUCCAGGUGUAGCGGUGAAAUGCGUAGAUAUCCGGAGGAACACCGGUGGCGAAGGCGGCAUCCUGGACCGACACUGACGCUGAGGAGCGAAAGCCAG
rnacentral:rRNA from 1 species